rnacentral:rRNA from 1 species
CCUACGGGAGGCUGCAGUGGGGAAUAUUGGGCAAUGGAGGAAACUCUGACCCAGCAACGCCGCGUGAAUGAGGAAGGGAGGAGGAGGGGAAAGGGGGGGUCGAAGGGAAGAAGAAAGUGACGGUACCUGAGGAAUAAGCCUCGGCUAACUACGUGCCAGCAGCCGCGGUAAUACGUAGGAGGCGAGCGUUAUCCGGAAUGACUGGGCGUAAAGGGUGCGUAGGUGGUUUGGCAAGUUAGUAGCGUAACUCCAAGGCUCAACCUUGGAACUACUACUAAAACUGUUGGACUUGAGUGCAGGAGGGGCAUCCGGAAUUCCUAGUGUAGCGGUGGAAUGCGUAGAUAUUAGGAGGAACACCAGUGGCGAAGGCGGGUUGCUAGACUGUAACUGACACUGAGGCACGAAAGCGUGGGGAGCAAACAGGAUUAGAUACCCUAGUAGUC